GCAAAUGCGGAUCGCCUGGGCUGACGGACCAACUGCGAAUGAAACGGGAAGCUAAGGCUGGCAGAGCCAGCAGCGAACAGACCGCCAAUUACGAAAGUGAAGCUGCCAAGGAGAGGUCCUUUUUUGCAGUCAAUUUGACAGGAGGGCGAGCCAAGCCAAAGGCAGUAGCCACCCCCACCCGCAAUCCCACUCCCAUUCACUCCCCCCCGCAGCAAAGCCACAAACGGAAAGGCGAAAAACCCAGUUGAGAUGGGAAAAUGAAAAGCGGCGAGCGCCGAGAAUCGAGAGUCGAGAGCCGAGAACCCAGAAACGAACAAAAACAAACAGAACAAAAAAAAGAAGACCAAACGAAAGUCGAAAAUUUACGAAAAGCUACCAAAUGUUACAUUUCAUCCCCUGAUAGUGGACCAAAAGCGACCGACCAGCCCAGCCACCCAAGCACCCAUGCACCCACCCACUGACUCUCCCAUGUCGGCGUGAAGUCCUCGAAGAGAGUGCGAAAGAGAGCCGAGGGAGGAGAGCGAGGAGUGCCGGGUAACCAACCGGAAAACGCCCUUUUUUCACUGCCCCGGCCUGAUGCGAUUACAGCAAAUGAGGGGACUUCCUGCCGUCCACCAUUUUUGUUUUUUCCCACUCACCGACACACACACACACCAACCCACUCACCAACACACUCGCCAUUCAACCAGCUGAAAACGCACACUAGCGCAGUGGCGCUCGGCACGCACACUGGCGCACAUAUCCUGUGGCUUUCGAC
ensembl:ncRNA asRNA:CR43926 antisense RNA:CR43926